GGAUAGAUUCUUAAUCAAUUAUUUUUUAAAUAAUUUUUAGUAAUUAAUUUCACCUCAGAUAAUUUUUUAAUUAAUUUUGAUCUUCUCUGCAAGCUCUGGUUUGGUCCAACCAUUAAUAUGAUCGUACUCAAAAAUCUAACUACCAAAUGAUCAGGCCCGACUUUAGCUGGCUAACCUGACCACUCACCAGAGAGACUCGAUUAAGUCAUCAUAUUAUGAAUGAUAAUUUCAAUAGCAGAUGAGCAUCAGGCUUUUGGGCCUCCAAUGAUCAUCAUACUAAUGGACCUAUUAUCACCCAACUUGAUGAGAGGCUAUGAUCUAGUUAUCUCCAUAACAAGCUCAUUUUAGAGACCUAAUAAUUUAGAAGAUUUAAUUUAUGAGUCAAGAGAAGAGAAGAGAUCAACUAGUAAACCACAAUCUCCUAUUGACUUUACCAAGUCAUUGAAUUAGAUUAAGGUCAUGCUGGUUGAACUGGCACCUAGAUUAGUCACACUGAUCAACCUUAAUAACAUGGGUCAACUCGAAUCACUUAGCAGUCUAAUCAAGACAUAAUCCACCAAAUUGAUCAAGUUAGUGAGAUCGAUGGGACGGUCUACCAAGCUUGCUUUAGACACCAUCGAAAUGGCCAGAUAAGCCACUCUCAAUUAAAAACCAUCGAUAAAAAUACCAAACUUAUCUUAGAUACCAAUUAGUUAAUUAGUUUCUAUAUGACCAACCUAAUGAUUCAGGUUCAACCACUGAGCCAUAAUCAAGGUGUUAGAAUUCCUGUGUUGGGACAUGCAUGUGUGUUUCAAAAUUUUAUUUUCUAAAUACCACGGUGGAAUACAAGGUUAAAAUACUUUUAAUCUGAAUCAUGCAUGCAUAAAAAUAUAAAAUCACAAGGAUCUAGUUCAUAUGCUAAAAUUGUACAUAUGCUGAAAUUCAGAUUGUGAUCAAAUCACAUACCUGUUUUGCAAUCUCUUUCUUCAAAUCUGGAUCUAAAAGAGAAAAUUUUUUUUUCUAGUUGCAUAAGUGUUCAGUCUCUACAGGUAUCUACUUGGGAUCAGCCUAGAACAGCCCUCUUCAAGUUAAAUUUUUUUCUCUAAAAAAAUUUAGCCAGCUGAAUCUGAACAAAGUCUGGAUCGCAAUCAACUUUUUGAUCUCUUUUUUUGAUCUUCUUCUCUUCUUCUUUUGCCUUUCUCCCUUGAUUUAUGCUACUACCAAACA
rnacentral:lncRNA from 1 species